UCUAUAAACGAAAAUGUUUAAACUGUGAAAUAGAGAAUCCAGUAGAUUAAAGGGCCGGUUGUUCGAACGCUAAUCAGAAAUGGAAUCAACUGAUCAUUAUCAAAUAUUUAAUUACUGUCAAUGUCAACUUUGAUUGGGUUGCUGAAAACAUAAUUGAUUACAAUUAUGAGAUUAAUUGAUUAAUUAAUCAAUUAUCAAUUAUGUUAAUUAUCAUAAUGAUAAUUGAUUACAAUCAACUGAUUGGCGUACGAACAACGGAUUUUGUUAUUUGAUGGUUGUUAAGGGGACUAAAAGAAUAACAUUGGCAACAUUGAUUUUAAUAACAGAAUAAUUUUUGACCUAGCGUACCUUUUCGUGACAAAUCGGAUAUUUUUCGAGCGAUCAUCGGAUAAUCUAGAGAAAUCCGAUUGGCAACACUGCCGAUAACCUAAAAAUUUAGUAAAAAUUUUGAUUGGAAAAAAAUGCAUCGAUAAGGGGGUGUGGGAAAUGGAAAUUAGUGGCUUUUCUGCUGUACUGUCUGCUAGUCAAAUCACACAACACUUUUUUCUAUGCUGCUAGUUUUUGCUCUGGGCUCUGGCUGGAUCUCUUGUUUAAACAAUUUUAAUCAGCUGAAAGUGGCCUACAAAAAGAAAACCAAGAAGAAAAUGUAUAGCCUUGUGGCUAUGAAAGGCAAAAGAGAGAUAUAAAAAGUGUAUUGGCUAGUUGGAAGAAAGUCCACAUUGUCCAUGCAUAAUAAGUUAUUACUUUAUCAACAAAUAUCAAUAAGAUAGCAGGGUCACGAGCAACAACUUCAUAAGUUCAAGAAUAUCGAGGAAAUCCAGCUCCUCGAUACUACUGGGCAAACUAGAAGAUUGAAGAGGACAAAGCCUUUUGAACUAGUUUGAGUGAUAGGUGAUAGUGAAAAACGGAGCAUAGUGCUUGUGUGCUGUGCCUGUGUAUGUUAGAAUAGUGCACGAUCUUGUUAGAUUAGAUAAGAGACGCUAUGGGGUAAGCUCUUCAUUUUAAGAAACAGUAGUAAUUUAGGUUAAAUUAAAAUUGCUCAUUGGUCAGUUAUGACCAGAUUGUUUUUUUAUGUUUGGCAAAAAGGACUUAAGUCAGAAUUUCACAUUGAUAAUGUUUUGAUGAUUUCUGGACCAGAAAAAAACUGUUGUAGAUGUAAACUGUAUGUACAGUAGAAUCUACUACAGUACUGUAGAAAUCAUCAAAACAUUAUCGAUGUGCAAUUCUGACUUAAGCCCUUUUUCCCAAACAUCAGAGAAUUGUAAUGUACAAUAAUUCUCCUAUCUGCUUUUUCAUGAAUUUUGUAGGAGAUGAAAAACCAUUUUUAGGAUCAUCUGCUUUCACAUGUAAAUUUUGACAUGUUUUGUAGUAAAUAGAUAGUUGAAUUUACUACAAAACAUGUCAAAAAAUAUAUGAAAACAGGAGGUGACUAUAAAAAAAGUUUUUAGUCUCUCUUACAAAACUCACGAAAAAACAAAUCGGAGGUAUGUCACAUCAGUGACUAUAUCCAGGGAAUGUCUAAAAAAUAUACUUUGAUGUCCCAAGAACCAAAUAUAACCUACAGUCCAUCUAAUUUACUUACUGUUGCAGGUCAUUAUAUAUCUACGCCAGAGAUCUAAGUUGACAUAGUUGCCAAAGUAUAAAAAGAUCCUGAAUCCAUUUUAAAUCAAAUAUAUCACAUAAUUAUUGUAAACGUGGAUUAUACAACAAAACAAAUUAAUAUUCAAUGUAAAUAAGUAAAAACUUAAGAAAUAGAGAACAAGAAUUAAGUUAUAAUCUUUUAAGAUUUGCAGUGCAAGAGUUUUUGCACUGCAUUGUUAAUAAUUAAAAAACGGCUCCGAACUCUUGGCAAAAAGCUG
rnacentral:lncRNA from 1 species